UUUAUUCUAGUUUGAGUUUUCUUUUGAUGAAGCCAGAAUAACAAAAAUUAAUGAGCCUGAGAUCUGAGAAACUGAUUCACUGUUUUCAGCAAACUGUGCCACUAAAGAAACUUAUAUAAUCAAGAGAAACAGGCCUAUACAGAUGCUAUAUUUCAAUUAUUUCCGUUAACCCGUCCUCUCUUUUAUCCCCUUUUAUGUUCAUUUGGAAUCACCAGUGAAGGGUGAGCAUAUAUUGUGUAUAAUGUGCAGAUGUAUUUACUGUCAUUCCCCCCCCACCCUAGGAAAAACGUACACAUUAUUCACAUGUGAAUUAUAUAUGUAGGUCAUCGGCGUGUGAAUAGAAGCAUUAUGCACCGUAACUAACUAGAUUCACAUGUGGAAAUAUGUGUGUUGGUGUGAAUACAUGUGUGAGAGAGAAGGCCAUGUUUUUAAAAACUGUAACUCACCACAUCCUGCCAUGCAAUGUGAAUCACUAUAUGAAGAGUUUCACUCCAAACAUACAUUGAUUAGGAGUCCAAAAUUAACAUUUUAAUAGAUUAAAUUAAAGUGGUUUAGGCUAUUGGUUGAUUUCUUUGUUUCUUUUUGUACUCUACAUUAUACAUACACUCUAUCUUUAUGAAAGUUAACUCUUCAUAUGAUCACAUAUAAUGCAAUCUGUCAUACGCAUAUUUGUUUGAUUUCUUGAGUUCAGUUUUCAGACCUUUGAAAAUAGAUCCAUCAAAAAAUCUACAGUCUUUCAAGCAAAAACACUAACAAUACAUCCUACUCUUCCACACUUUCAGGUCUCCAACAAAGGGGUCUCCGACAAACAACGUGUCACCAACAUCAACUCCAGCCAAAUCUUCAAACGCUGUUCCCACACUGCAGCCUCCCCCAGGGGAUAGUGCUGCCGCUGCCGCUGCUCCUGAGCCAGCUGAAGAUUCUUUGCUGGACCUGGAUCCGCUGUCCUCCUCGGGUCCAUCUGCACCAUCAGCUGCCCCCACAUCUUGGGGUGACCUUCUUGGGUCAGAAAUGGGCGAUUCCUUGCUAUCUGAACCCACCCUCACAGCAGAGCCCGCUCCCUCCCCUGCAGCAGCAACACCCAAUCCUGCAGCGGCAGAACCUGGAGUCUCUCUAGCUCCUCCCACUAGCACAGCAGCUGCCACCUCCCCUGGCGCCGCCAGUAUGGAUCUGUUGGGAGGUCAGUGGGCUUCCAGAAAAUUCUCUAUGGAAGAAUCACUCUGGGAAGCUCAACCCUAAAACCAUUACACAAUAUAAUAACACAAUGUAUGCAUGUACAAACACAUACAGUAUGUAGACAGAACUUUGCUGAUUUUCUCAGUAUUGCCUGUAUCCUACUAACAAAGAUGCAUCAUCAGUAACAGUCGAGUCUUCACCUGUGUCCAGAAUCACUCCCUCGUUCAUAUUAGUGAGAAGUAAAUUUAGGUUUUAACUAUUUACUAAUCAUACGUCACUUUAUGUCAUCACAAACAGCUCUAGAGCCGCUCAGUGGAUGUUUUCUCAUCUGUAAAAUGCAGCCCAUUGCAUUGUGGGAUUGUUAACAAACAGGCAUGCAGGUCUACAUGCUGUGGGCAGUGUUGUUUUUCUAAGGGCACCAAACAGUGGAUAUGCAUGGAUGGAUUACCUGACCUAAUAGGGCACAGGCCCAGGGGCCCAAGGAGUCAGGGUUACCCUAGACUGAGAGAACCAUGGAGGGACCCUUAACCUUUCUGUUGGGAAAUCAAACAAUUAACUAUCACUACAAAAAGACAAAAUAUUAUAAAAAACAGAUACAAAAGUAAGCAAACUGACUAAAAGAAUCAGAAAACAACACCAAAAACAGAAUAACAAGAGCAGAAAUAUAAGUGACUAAAUAAAACACAAUUAGAGUAGAGGAAUGACUAUGAAGAGAUGUAAAAUGAGUAAAAGCUGACAUAACACACAUAAAACAACCACAAGAAAACACAAAGUGACAGGUCAUGUGGUUGCUCCAUCUGUGAGUCUUAUUCUGAUUGUUGGAGGGGUGGGGGCUUUUCACAUGUCUGGGCUCAGGGGCCUGUUGUCUCCUAAUCCGUCCAUGUGGAUACAUCUACAUACUCAGCAAUCAGGCAUUCAAUUACAGUAAAUGUAUUGCACUAUAUAGUAAAUAGGGAGUGAUUUCAGACACAGCCUUACUGAUGCAUUGAUGCACAACUCCAUCAUUUUCAGCUAUUGACUGCCUCAAAAUUAUGAACACAGAUAUUCACAAUGAAAUACAUAGAUAUGUAAUUAUAAAAUAAAUAAUAGUAUGAG
ensembl:lncRNA